CCCUGGCUAGCUCAGUUGGUAUUGCGCUCCACUGGAAAUGGAGAGGUCCUUGGUUCAAUACCAGGACCAGGCG
rfam:Ixodes scapularis strain Wikel colony gcontig_1108378292804, whole genome shotgun sequence.